UUAAACACGGCGCGUUUUUAAGUAGACGUUCAGAGAACCGGUGGGUGGUGUGAAUCGGUAGUCGAAACUCCGGCGCGACAAUGUGGGCAGGUAAUACUGCACGGCACGGCCGUUAUCCGUUUAAGGGUGGGAUUAAUCAUGAUCCUGAACUUGGGUGGUACCGCGAAUCGCAGUCUCUUCGUCCCAAUU
rnacentral:ncRNA from 1 species